rnacentral:tRNA from 1 species
GCGUCGCAAGCUCAACAGGAUGAGCAGCCGCCUUCUAAGCGGCAGGGUCCGGGUUCGAGUCCCGGGCGGCGCG